CUACGGGAGGCUCCAGUCGGGAAUAUUGCACAAUGGGGGGAACCCUGAUGCAGCAACGCCGCGUGGAGGAUGACACAUUUCGGUGCGUAAACUCCUUUUAUAUAAGAAGAUAAUGACGGUAUUAUAUGAAUAAGCACCGGCUAACUCCGUGCCAGCAGCCGCGGUAAUACGGGGGGUGCAAGCGUUACUCGGAAUCACUGGGCGUAAAGAGCAUGUAGGCUGGUUAGUAAGUUGGAAGUGAAAUCCUAUGGCUUAACCAUAGAACUGCUUCCAAAACUACUAACCUAGAAUAUGGGAGAGGUAGAUGGAAUUUCUGGUGUAGGGGUAAAAUCCGUAGAGAUCAGAAGGAAUACCGAUUGCGAAGGCGAUCUACUGGAACAUUAUUGACGCUCAGAUGCGAAAGCGUGGGGAGCAAACAGGAUUAGAUACCCCCGUAGUC
rnacentral:rRNA from 1 species